AUGCCUGCGGACCUGAGCCGGUGGGUGAUGCAGAGUUACGAUCCAGACAGCGAGUGUAUUGUAGUCCAAGGCAGGGGCGAGAUUCCCGUAACAGCCGAAAGCGUCCACCAUACUUUGGGUCUACGCAACUCUGGGGAAGACGUGUUCUAUGGCUGGGAUUCAGAAGCUAUAUCAUUCAUAAACAGCAGGUACGGGUUUGAGAAUGGAAGUGCCCCCGAGAUAACAACCGUCUACAACAUGAUUGGAAAGAUGGUGAGGAGAGCAGACGAUGAUUUCAUGCGGGCAUGGUUGAUAGUUGUAGUGAGCACUUUCAUGUGCCCCACAACGAGCCUUCAUGUCAGUCCUUGA
rnacentral:rRNA from 1 species